AGUCGAACGGAUUCUUCGGAAUCAGUGGCGGACGGGUGAGUAACGCGUGAGAAUCUGCCUUCAGGAUGGGGACAACAGCGGGAAACUGCUGCUAAUUCCCAAUAAGCCGAGAGGUGAAAGAGUAUCGCCUGAAGAGGAGCUCGCGUCCGAUUAGCUAGUUGGUGGGGUAAAGGCUUACCAAGGCGACGAUCGGUAGCUGGUCUGAGAGGACGAUCAGCCACACUGGGACUGAGACACGGCCCAGACUCCUACGGGAGGCAGCAGUGGGGAAUUUUCCGCAAUGGGCGCAAGCCUGACGGAGCCAGACCGCGUGAGGGAAGAAAGCCUUUGGGUUGUAAACCUCUUUUCCCAGGGAAGAAACCUGACGGUACCUGGGGAAUCAGCCUCGGCUAACUCCGUGCCAGCAGCCGCGGUAAUACGGAGGAGGCAAGCGUUAUCCGGAAUCAUUGGGCGUAAAGCGUCCGUAGGGUGCCACUCAAGUCUGCUGUCAAAGCUCCUGGCUCAACCGGGAAAAGGCAGUGGAAACUAGGUAGCUAGAGGGCGAUAGGGGCAGAGGGAAUUCCCGGUGUAGCGGUGAAAUGCGUAGAGAUCGGGAAGAACACCAGUGGCGAAAGCGCUCUGCUGGGUCGCACCUGACCCUGAGGGACGAAAGCUAGGGGAGCGAAAGGGAUUAGAUACCCCUGUAGUCCUAGCCGUAAACGAUGGGUACUAGGUGUCGCGCGUAUC
rnacentral:rRNA from 1 species